AUUUAAAUAGUUUAAAAAAAACUUUACAUUUUCAUUGUAAAAUUAGAAAUUUAUUUCUUUUAAAUA
rnacentral:tRNA from 1 species